rnacentral:rRNA from 1 species
AUUGAACGCUGGCGGCAUGCCUUACACAUGCAAGUCGAACGGUAACGGGCCUUCGGGUGCCGCCGAGUGGCGAACGGGUGAGUAAUACAUCGGAACGUGCCCGAUCGUGGGGGAUAACGAGGCGAAAGCUUUGCUAAUACCGCAUACGAUCUACGGAUGAAAGCAGGGGACCGCAAGGCCUUGCGCGGACGGAGCGGCCGAUGGCAGAUUAGGUAGUUGGUAGGAUAAAAGCUUACCAAGCCGACGAUCUGUAGCUGGUCUGAGAGGAUGAUCAGCCACACUGGGACUGAGACACGGCCCAGACUCCUACGGGAGGCAGCAGUGGGGAAUUUUGGACAAUGGGCGCAAGCCUGAUCCAGCCAUGCCGCGUGCAGGAUGAAGGCCUUCGGGUUGUAAACUGCUUUUGUACGGAACGAAAAGCCUUCUUUUAAUACAGGAGGGUCAUGACGGUACCGUAAGAAUAAGCACCGGCUAACUACGUG